rnacentral:rRNA from 1 species
GACAGAGGGUGCUAGCGUUGUUCGGAAUUACUGGGCGUAAAGCGCGUGUAGGCUGUUCGGAAAGUCGGGUGUGAAAGCCCUGGGCUCAACCUAGGAAGUGCACUCGAAACUCCCGAACUGGAGUCCCGGAGAGGAAGGUGGAAUUCUCGGUGUAGAGGUGAAAUUCGUAGAUAUCGAGAGGAACAUCGGUGGCGAAGGCGGCCUUCUGGACGGUGACUGACGCUGAGACGCGAAAGCGUGGGGAGCAAACAGG